rnacentral:snRNA from 1 species
AUACUUACUUGGUAGGGGAGAUUCCAUGAUCAAGAAGAUGGUUUUUUCAGGGUGAGGUUCAUCCAUUGCAUUGCAAGUGUGCUGUCCCCUGCAAUUUCCCCAAAUGCGGGCAACUCGACUGCAUAAUUUGUGGUAGUGGGGGACUGUGUCUGUGCUCUCCCCUG